rfam:Schistosoma curassoni strain Dakar, Senegal genome assembly, scaffold: SCTD_scaffold0000021
AUCCAACUGACGAGUCCCAAAAUAGGACGAAACACGCGUCCUGGAU